AUGCUUGAAUUCUGCAGCUGUGUGAGGCCUGAAGACCAACUAGUGGGACCUGCCUUCGAACAUCUUAAUGUCUGCUGUGUGAGAAAAAUAAGUAGGCUAAUUAUAUUGGACUUGGAUGCCAUCUUGGUCUUCCUAUCUCUUCAUCACGUUUUCCCAGGGUCACAUGGAAGAAAUGACAACAAACAAGUUUCUGAAAAAUGCAGAACACUACAUAAACUCCAGGUUGUGUUAUUAUAAAAGUUAGAAUACAAUAAGCCUUUUUUCUUCAGGAACCUAAUUAUAGUACUUGUGAUCAUUAUGAAAUUAGCCUCCACAAGGUAGAAUGUUUCCUGUUUAUUGUUUAAAUGUGAGCUAAACUAAAAAUGGGCGUGAGAACUGUGCUUACGUCAGCCACAAAUAGAUUAAAAUUGGACUCAUACAGAGAGGAUUAGCAUGACCUUUAAGGCUUCCCUGAUAGCUCAGCUGGUAAGGAAAUCAUCUGCAAUGCAGGAGACCCCGAUUCAAUUCCUGGGUUGAGAAGAUCCCCUGGAGAAGGGAUAGGCUACCCACUCCAGUAUUCUUGGGCUUCCCUGUGGCUCAGCUGGUAAAGAAUCGGCCUGCAAUGAGGAAGACCUGGGUUUGAUUCCUGGUUUGGGAAGAUACCCUGGAGAAGGGAACAACUCCAGUAUUCUGACCUGAAGAAUUCCAAAGGGUCACAAAGAGUCAGACACGACUGAGCGACUUUCACUUUUGCCCCACAUGAUUUUCAGUAUUUUAGGGUUAGGGUUAUUGUAUUUCAUAUUUUGCAAUCUUUCUGUAAAUCUAAAAUUAAGUUAAAAUUUUAAAAGACCUCAGUUUAAUUAUUUUGAGAUUAAUUUACUGGAUCCAUUGAGUCAGUCUAUUAUACAAUUUAGACAAAUUUAGAGUGAUUUCUGUAUUUUUCUAAAAUGACUGUAGAAUUCAUGAGUGAGGAGAAAAGAGCUGCGUCUAAACCCAAAACUCAGACUUCAAACUCAUGGGUGAUUCAACACUAUCAGAUAAAAACUUUUUUUAAAAAAAGGACAUAUAUUGGUUGAGAAUGAGUUAUAAGUCUCAUCUUACCAAUAAAAUGAUCAGGACUCUGUACUGCCAUUGACUCUAACUGCCAAUGUUACAGUUAGCCAAUGAUAAGAUUUCCCUAAACACAGCUUCCUCCUGACCUCUUGUACAUCCUUAAAUCCCAAUGUCAUAUACUACCAUAGGUAAAUCUCAACAAUAGUACCUCAGACGGGGAAGUUUUGCUUUACAAGUGUUAUUUUUCUUAAUGAACCUGGUAGAGAGUAGAGUGUGUUGUGCCCAGAACUUCUGGGUCUUUCCUCAGAUUCCAAGAACAAAUCAGAAUAUGACCAAUGUUAUAGUCAAUGUUAAACAGUUAUCUGAACAUUCUUCUCAGAUUUUGAACAGUUGUGCCUUCAGUGAGAUGCUGUUUAAACACUCUUGUUUCUUGAGCAUUCAAAAAAUUCACAACUCUCUGGUUGCCUAAUCAGAUUGUACUUGCUCUGCCAGCCACUCCCAGCUCCUCCUUAGGGAAGCAGGAGCUCCUGUGAACUCAGGUGACUGGCAGAAGCCGUGCUGGACUAUGCAUCACCGAGGGUAACAGCAGUAGCUCACUCCCCCUUGGUUUUGCCCAGUCAGAGUAUAUAAAUGAGUUCUGAUAAGUGACCAGAUACUAUUCUUCUGUGAUCUCUCUUUUAAAAGUUAGUGGCACAUGGCCAAGCAAGAGAGAACUUAAUACUCAAGGCACAUUCUCUUAGCAGCAAUGGCUUCCUGAAGAGAAACAACCAUGCCUUCCAUUAGUGGGCAUGAACCAGAAGCAGAAGAGAAAGCAAAAAAAAAAAAAAAAAAGGCAGAAGAGAGGAAAUAGAAAGUUAAACUUCUCAGAGGCUGAGAAAGGGCCAUGUCAAUUCCAGUUGCUGAAACCUUCAAAAAAUUGGGGAGGGGAAUACAGAAAAGCCCAAACUGGCUUACUACAUUACAGUAUAUUUUUUAUUUACAUGAACAAAUAAAGCUGCAAAGUGAGCAUCAUUCUGACUUGUCAGUGUGUAUCUGAUUUGGAAAUAACAUGAGAGUCUAAUCUGAAUCUUUAUGAAUAUGAAGCCCAAG
ensembl:lncRNA